rfam:Astyanax mexicanus chromosome 2, whole genome shotgun sequence.
UAAAAGGCUCUUUUAAGAGCCACUUCCUUAUUCAUAAAAAAGCAUU